GAUAGAUAACAGAGGUCGCUUUUGUUUCUCAUAGGCUUUUUCUAUAAUUUUGCAGCAGAGACAGCAGUGGGACUCAAAAGUUAUUGCAAAAGGGCGACCGACGAGAAGGCUGUGGCAGAAUGCACAAGAGAAACAGAUGCUCUUAUGCUCAGCAGACUCUUUUGCUGGCUUGUCUUGAAACAAGUAUUCCCCUUUAUGUGGAUCCAGUCUUAAUUCUACAUGCUUGGAGGGGAGAAGCACUGUGUGGCAUUAAGGGGCUGGUGGUCCUGCAUCCUACAGAUCAUCCUAAAUGGGAAAUGUGUAUACAGUGGUACCUCUGGUUACGUACUUAAUUUGUUCCGGAGGUCCGUUCUUAACCUGAAACUGUUCUUAACCUGAAGCACCACUUUAGCUAAUGGGGCCUCCUGCUGCCAUUGCGCUGCCGCCGCACGAUUUCUACUCUCAUCCUGAAGCAAAGUUCUUAACCUGAGGUACUAUUUCUGGGUUAGGGGAGUCUGUAACCUGAAGCGUAUGUAACCUAAAGUGUAUGUAACCCGAGGUACCACUGUACAGAGGGUGAGCCUGGGGAAAGGCUUUGGGCCUAAAAGCCCAAAUGAGCCUUCCAGGCCUCUCUCAGCUCUCUUCCCUGAGCCACAACCCUGUUUUGUACUCUGCUCGGGUGUUUUUACCUGUCUGGAACAGUUACUUAAAAUUCUGUUAAUGCCUCCUGCACGCCUGGAAAGAGGAACGUGUGAGGGUUUUGAAGCUAGCCUAGUGUACAAAGUGUUGGGGCUUCUAAAAAAUGAUGAUGAUGAAACUGGCCAUCUCCACUGCAAUGUGAGUAUUAGGAUAUAUACACUUCUGUGACCAGAAGGGAAGUUCAUGGUUAUAAAACAUUAAAAGCAGCACUGCUGAUAUAUAGCCUACUGAACAAUGGUUCCAACUCCUGCCAGCUUCAGUUAGCAUGGUCAACAAUCAGGGAUCAUGAGAGAUGAGUACCAUCUGGAGAGUCAUAGGAUCCCCACUCCUGGGUUUGAU